rnacentral:rRNA from 1 species
UACGUAUGGUGCAAGCGUUAAUCGGAAUUACUGGGCGUAAAGCGUGCGCAGGCGGCUUUGCAAGACAGAUGUGAAAUCCCCGGGCUUAACCUGGGAACUGCAUUUGUGACUGCAUGGCUGGAGUGCGGCAGAGGGGGGUGGAAUUCCACGUGUAGCAGUGAAAUGCGUAGAGAUGUGGAGGAACACCGAUGGCGAAGGCAGCCUCCUGGGCCAGCACUGACGCUCAUGCACGAAAGCGUGGGGAGCAAACAGG